rnacentral:rRNA from 1 species
GAUGAACGCUGGCGGCGUGCCUAAUACAUGCAAGUCGAGCGAACAGUCGAGGAGCUUGCUCCUCUGACGUUAGCGGCGGACGGGUGAGUAACACGGGGUUAACCUACCUAUAAGAACGGGAUAACUGCGGGAAACCGGAGCUAAUAGCGGCUAAUAUAUUGUACCGGAUUGUUCAAUAAUGAAAGAGGGUUUUGGGGUCACUUAUAGAUGGAUCCGCGCCGCAUUAGCUAGUUGGUAAGGUAACGGCUUACCAAGGCAACGAUGCGUAGCCGACCUGAGAGGGUGAUCGGCCACACUGGAACUGAGACACGGCCCAGACUCCUACGGGAGGCAGCAGUAGGGAAUCUUCCGCAAUGGGCGAAAGCCUGACGGAGCAACGCCGCGUGAGUGAUGAAGGUCUUCGGAUCGUAAAACUCUGUUAUUAGGGAAGAACAAAUGUGUAAGUAACUAUGCACGUCUUGACGGUACCUAAUCAGAAAGCCACGGCUAACUACGUG